CAGUUCCUCACAGACUCAUCGUGACUGUACUCUUGUGACUGCACGCUCAACAACAAACCAACAAACAUGAAAUUCUUCAGGGUACUCGGUAUGAUCGCCGCUCUGCUGCUCGCCGCACAAGUCGCGAGCGCUCUGGAGAAUGCAGCCUCUGACGAAGUAGGUCUCCGUGGACCGAGAAAUGUAGUAGACUCUAGCAUCCUGAAAGAAGAAGAUCUCGUUCCAGAGGGUAGUGGACCAAGUCCGCGCGGCCCGGGACACCACGACUGAACGAUAACAACCAGAAAUAUAGAAACAACGACUGAUUAUGUAGAACUUAUAUUGUGAUAUAAAUAAAUUAAAUAUUUAAUAUUA